rnacentral:rRNA from 1 species
CCAAUGGAUGGUACUGCUCUGGCUGGGGUUCACUUUCUGGUGAGCCGGUAUGCUCUUCACUGGGUGUGCCGAGGAACCAGGACUUUUACUUUGAAAAAAUUAGAGUGUUUAAAGCAGGCCUAUGCUUGAAUACAUUAGCAUGGAAUAAUAGAAUAGGACUUUGGUUCUAUUUUGUUGGUUUCUAGGACCGAAGUAAUGAUUAAUAGGGAUAGUUGGGGGCAUUAGUAUUUAGUAGCUAGAGGUGAAAUUCUUGGAUUUAUGAAAGACUAACUUCUGCGAAAGCAUUUGCCAAGGAUGUUUUCAUUAAUCAAGAACGAAAGUUAGGGGAUCGAAGACGAUCAGAUACCGUCGUAGUCUUAACCAUAAACUAUGCCGACUAGGGAUCAGACGAUGUUACUUUACUGACUCGUUUGGCACCUUAUGAGAAAUCAAAGUUUUUGGGUUCCGGGGGGAGUAUGGUCGCAAGGCUGAAACUUAAAGGAAUUGACGGAAGGGCACCACCAGGAGUGGAGCCUGCGGCUUAAUUUGACUCAACACGGGGAAACUCACCAGGUCCAGACAUAGUAAGGAUUGACAGAUUGAGAGCUCUUUCUUGAUUCUAUGGGUGGUGGUGCAUGGCCGUUCUUAGUUGGUGGAGUGAUUUGUCUGCUUAAUUGCGUUAACGAACGAGACCUUAACCUGCUAAAUAGUUAUGCCAACUUUUGUUGGUAGUCAACUUCUUAGAGGGACUGUCGGCGAUUAGCCGAUGGAAGUUUUAGGCAAUAACAGGUCUGUUAUGCCCUUAGAUGUCCUGGGCCGCACGCGCGCUACACUGAUGA